rnacentral:misc_RNA from 1 species
GAAAUGCGAUAAGUAAUGUGAAUUGCAGAAUUCAGUGAAUCAUCGAAUCUUUGAACGCACAUUGCGCCCCUUGGUAUUCCGAGGGGCAUGCCUGUUCGAGCGUCAUUAUAACCACUCAAGCCUCGGCUUGGUCUUGGGGUCCCGCGGUCUCGCGGCCCUUAAAAUCAGUGGCGGUGCCGUCUGGCUCUAAGCGUAGUAAUUCUCUCGCUAUAGGGUCCAGGUGGUGGCUUGCCAAAACCCCCCAUUUUUCUAUGGUUGACCUCGGAUCAGGUAGGGAUACCCGCUGAACUUAA